rnacentral:rRNA from 1 species
GCCGUGAGGUGUUAGGUUAAGUCCUGCAACGAGCGCAACCCUCGUCGCUAGUUAAAUUUUCUAGCGAUACUGCCCGUAAAACGAGGAGGAAGGUGGGGAUGACGUCAAGUCAGCAUGGCCCUUACGCCUUGGGCUACACACACGCUACAAUGGGUGAUACAACGGGUUGCGAGAGAGCGAUCUGGAGCUAAUCCCUAAAAUCAUCCUCAGUUCGGAUUGCAGGCUGAAACUGCCUGCAUGAAGUUGGAGUUGCUAGUAACCGCAGGUCAGCACACUGCGGUGAAUACGUUCUCGGGCCUU